CGCGUAGGCGGCCUUCUAAGUCGAACGUGAAAUCCCCGGGCUCAACCCGGGAACUGCGUCCGAUACUGGAAGGCUUGAAUCCGGGAGAGGGAUGCGGAAUUCCAGGUGUAGCGGUGAAAUGCGUAGAUAUCUGGAGGAACACCGGUGGCGAAGGCGGCUCUCUGGGACGGUACUGACGCUGAGACGCGAAAGCGUGGGGAGCGAACA
rnacentral:rRNA from 1 species